UGUGUGUGUGUCUUGUCUGUGUGUGUGUGUGUGUCUUGUCUGUGUGAGUGUGUGUGCGUCUUAUGUGUUUUCUGUGAAGUGUCUUGUGGAAUGGUUUGAGACAGUUUGUAUUGAUAUGUGCAGAUCAGCCCGGGUUCUUGCAUGUUAUCUUGGAAUUACCUGCAAUAAAUCCAGUUGCAUCAGACUCUGUGAAGUGUAUAUUUUGAAGAAGUAUUCAACAGUGUGAGGAGAACACCCAGCUCUUCUGGCCCAGGCUGGGUCCUGUUUUUCCCCACAUUGAAUUGGAGAGCCAGCCAGGAGAGGCUCGAGGAAGCUGAACGCCUGGACGGAACUGCUGACUCUUGGGUUCAACAGUGGCCACAAAACAAUAAGAUACGGGCCCAAGAAGACGGAGAAGCAGACGACCUCGAGCAACUAUAAACAGAUUACAAGGGUGCAGCAGCACAAGCCAAGGCCAGUUGGGGUGGCCUACAUUAAGAAUUAAACCAAAAAGCCCCUUUGAAAUAAGUUACUGACUUUUUCAAAUUACUUUUCCGGCUCUUUAUUUUAUACAGACUAUGUUGAAGUAAAACACCUUUUUAGGGAUGACACUGACGGUGACAGUGACUGUGACAGUGACGAGAGUAACAAUUUGAGUGGACAAAACGGUCAAUUGUGGAUUGCUCACAAAGAAAGAGUAAACGGAUUUGAUGCGUUUGGAUUAUCAAAACACGGUGGUUACAUUUAAGAGCAGAUAAACUUAUAUUAAGAGCAAAUAGUUUAUUAUUUCCAGUUUAAAUGAUGCCUGCAGGUUCAAAUAAAUCGGCUCAAUUUCACCCGGUUCUGCUACUGACAUGGGGGGAUUGUCAUACUUUCCUUUGUAGGAGGUCUUGGCUGACUAGCCUCGACUGUAGACCCCUUCAUGGCAUUAACGGAACCCAAGACAGAGGUGGAUUGAACGACAAUAAUCAAAGACAUAAACGAAGCUACCGAUUUAAUCACUAUCACCAGAUAAAAAUAUAUAUAAAUAAAAAUAUGCAGAGGAUUUAAACAUUUCUGAUUGCUGGGUGUGAAUUCAUCAACCAUGCAGCAGGUCUUAGCUCUGCAUAUGCUUGCUAGGAAAAUGCUGGAAUUCCACAUAGGUGUUAAAAAUAGUUUGUACUAUUUCUUUUAAACUACAGAAAAGAUUCGACAUUUCAGCCAUAACAAUAGUUCAUAGUGUCUCAGCGACUGAAAUAUUGCCUCAUUAUUUCGUGUUAUGUUCUGCCGUGUUUCUACUCAUUGGACCAAGGUCAGGGUCUGUGUAUCUGAGUGACUUCAGUGUUAUCUGUAGCUGUUUUAUAAAAAGACAAGGCUGAACCAUUAGAAGUAGUGGAAAUUUAUCAAACUCCUUCUUGGAAUUCGGAGAAUCUAAGGGGUGGUCAUGGUGGGACUGGUUUAACAUGGCAACAUGGAAAAUGGCUCUGGUAAAAAUAAGGGUGAUCAUAGGGAUAGUAUUUUUGGUGUUGUUAUUUGCCUGUUGUGUAAUUCCACUAAUUCAGUCCCUGGUCAAAAGGUUGGUAACUUCAGUCACUGGGCAAUUUCCGGUUACAACUGGACAUUACCAAUGCAGAUAAGUGGAGUAUGGCUAAUCAAUAAUGACCCCUCCGUCGUUGGGUGUGGUAAAUUGACCCCAAGAAAAGGAAAUUAACCAUUACAUGAGAUGCACAACGGUGCAAGGGGGGUGGGGUGUUUUGCUGUAACUGUCAUUCAAACAGGACCUAAGGAGUAUCUCAAUCAAUAUGGAAACCCUCUUUGCGAAUGGGGUGUGAGAGGAGGCGCUGGCUGGGAAUGCUGGAACGUCCAUCCACAAGCCGCCCGCCUGGUGAACGAUCCUGGGUUCUGGGAGGCUUACGCUAGAUGCACCUGUGGAGAACCUUCUGUGUGUAGCAAAGACCGCCAGCGCUGCGAGGAAAAGAGCGACCAGAGUCACUGUGCAUCGAAUGUUCUAGUAACCUCUCCACAGUGAUAACCCUCUGCGGUGCGUAAAGUACCUGGGCUGAAGAAACAUACACCGACUGCACAACUCGCGUGACUAAAGAGGAUUGAGAGCAGCAAGAGUAUCUGAGUGAUGUGCUAGCAACCUCUCCUCAGCAUACAAAGAGCCAAGCUACGACUCGCAAAGAGCCAAACUGGACGGAAGUAGAUGACGGCGCCGAAAACGAAAAUAUGAGUGAAGCAAAAGUAGAGGCUACAAUCAAGAAACCCACAUAACCAAGUAGAAUUGACUGAUUGAUUUAAUAAAUAACUAACCAGAAUUAUGAUGUUAGAACUCCAUCUAACCAUCUCAUGUAACUGUAUAAACUUGUGCACCUGUAACCCGUGGCUGAUCCAAUUAUUAAUGUACUCAGGCUUAAACACGCAACAUGUAUACAUGAUAUUGUAUUAGUUAAAAGGAAAAUCAGACCACACUGAACCUCGUAGUGAAACAAAGGCCACGGUUUGCCCUGUUGGUGUUAUUCAGGAAAAUUCAGGCAGCGAAGAUAUAAUCCAAUCCAUCGCACUCAGAAGGCUACAUUCACGUGCGAAAGGGGGGCCACAUGACGCAUGUUCGGGGCAUGCCUGAGCAGCACUCUGCCUUACUGCUCAUAUUCAGCUACAGUUGUGUGGGUGAGUACUGGAUGACAACUGCUGGGCAAACUGGUUUGCUAGUGGCAAUAUUAAGCAACAGAAAGGCCGUAUAGGGAGUCUGUUGAAUUGUUUACUUCUCAACGAGUCAAUGUGGGCUGAAAACAUUUUAGUAGUAAGGAGAAUAUGUUGUACUGAUUGUUAUGCAGACUAUACUUGUUAUAUUGCUUUGGAUCUCUUUGGCCUGUGUGCAAGGUGAAAUGGCAAGAACUGUGAGGGAUAUGAGCAUUGUGUGGCUUUUACCCACUCCCCGCAAAAUAGGGAGCGGAUGUUCUCCACACGAUGAUCUGCUCUGCUGUUAGGUCUCCCUCCAGGCGACAGUCAUCAUUUGGUGAUCGCUAAGGUCAUGAGACAGCGUUUUGCUGUCUGACUGGACAGAAUCUGACAACAGAUCUUAGGGAAAGUUUGCCAAAUGUGAUCUAUUCACGUAGUAAGUAAUGAAUACAUAUUAAUCAAUGUAUACCAAAUACAUAUUAAAUGAAUGCUAAGAAACGCAAGAGUCCUAGUGCAGGAAUAUAAAGAUGUGUGUUGGGAUUAGGCUAGGCAUGGGGUGUGCCGCAAGGGCUACCCACAUGGGCUGUCGUGCAGGAGGCGGCACAUAGGGUGCCCCGCAAUCUCUGCAUUGAAGUUAAAGCUAUGUAUUGGUCAAUUUACUCCGCAUUAAGUUAUGUUCCUGCACCAAGCUGUCUGCACUGCUUAUUUUAUAAGUAAUCACAAUAGAUAUGGAACUUAGAAGUUCCAAAGGGGGGAAUGUGGGAAAUAAAUAUUGAUGUAGUCAAAAAACACAAGCCCAUUGCAUUGGGAAAGAUAUGUAGUUAGAGAGCACAGGCCCAGUGUAUAUGGGAAAGGAAUGUAUUAAUGAGCACCAACUGUCUCCUCCCUGACGUAUCUUCCGGCUAGCAAAAGAGGAAGGAUGCAGGUGGACCAAGGUCGACCUUAGCCAUAAGAUUAACAACCGGCAGCAGGGAAGCGCUUCAUACUAAAAUAGGUGCGAUUAGAACAAACACGUAAUACACACAUAAUUUCUGCCCUGCUAAUUAAGCUGUAUACAAGCACAUCUGUGGAACUAACGGAAGCUUCUGUCUUUUCCGGAAAAUGUGUUGUCAGAAUGUGAUUUAUGAUAGAAGGGGGAGGGAGAUUCAAGUGGGAGACGAGCACUAUCAUUUUUAAAAAAUAAGGAAGGGGCUGAUAAAUAAUGGUGUCCGAGAAUUGGGAAAUAAUGGUGUCUGAAAAAUGAGAAACAAUGAUGUGUGGGAAAAGAGUAAAGUAAAAUGAUGUAAGCAUGAGGGACAGUCCAAGCUUGAGCUCCACAACAGGAGGAGCUAAGAUAGGAUAAAAGGGAGUGUUCGGCCCCAGGGGAGUAUGUCUUGUAUGUCUUGUAUGUCUUGUAUGUCUUGUGUGUCUUGUGUGUCCUGUGUGUGUGUGUGUCUUGUCUGUGUGUGUGUGUGUGUGUCUUGUCUGUGUGAGUGUGUGUGCGUCUUAUGUGUUUUCUGUGAAGUGUCUUGUGGAAUGCUGAGACAGUUUGUAUUGAUAUGUGCAGAUCAGCCCGGGUUCUUGCAUGUUAUCUUGGAAUUACCUGCAAUAAAUCCAGUUGCAUCAGA